GACGUAGGGGGCGAGCGUUGUCCGGAAUCAUUGGGCGUAAAGAGCGUGUAGGCGGCCCGGUAGGUCCGCUGUGAAAGUCGGGGGCUCAACCCUCGAAUGCCGGUGGAUACUGUCGGGCUAGAGUGCGGAAGAGGCGAGUGGAAUUCCUGGUGUAGCGGUGAAAUGCGCAGAUAUCAGGAGGAACACCAAUUGCGAAGGCAGCUCGCUGGGACGUAACUGACGCUGAGACGCGGAAAGCGUGGGGAGCAAACAGG
rnacentral:rRNA from 1 species